ACGGUACCUAACCAGAAAGCCACGGCUAACUACGUGCCAGCAGCCGCGGUAAUACGUAGGUGGCAAGCGUUGUCCGGAAUUAUUGGGCGUAAAGGGCUCGCAGGCGGUUUCUUAAGUCUGAUGUGAAAGCCCCCGGCUCAACCGGGGAGGGUCAUUGGAAACUGGGGAACUUGAGUGCAGAAGAGGAGAGUGGAAUUCCACGUGUAGCGGUGAAAUGCGUAGAGAUGUGGAGGAACACCAGUGGCGAAGGCGACUCUCUGGUCUGUAACUGACGCUGAGGAGCGAAAGCGUGGGGAGCGAACAGGAUUAGAUACCCUGGUAGUCCACGCCGUAAACGAUGAGUGCUAAGUGUUAGGGGGUUUCCGCCCCUUAGUGCUGCAGCUAACGCAUUAAGCACUCCGCCUGGGGAGUACGGUCGCAAGACUGAAACUCAAAGGAAUUGACGGGGGCCCGCACAAGCGGUGGAGCAUGUGGUUUAAUUCGAAGCAACGCGAAGAACCUUACCAGGUCUUGACAUCCUCUGACAAUCCUAGAGAUAGGACGUCUCUCUUUCGG
rnacentral:rRNA from 1 species